UGGCGGACGGGUGAGUAAUGUCUGGGAAACUGCCCGAUGGAGGGGGAUAACUACUGGAAACGGUAGCUAAUACCGCAUAACGUCGCAAGAUCAAAGAGGGGGACCUUAGGGCCUCUUGCCAUCGGAUGUGCCCAGAUGGGAUUAGCUAGUAGGUGGGGUAACGGCUCACCUAGGCGACGAUCCCUAGCUGGUCUGAGAGGAUGACCAGCCACACUGGAACUGAGACACGGUCCAG
rnacentral:rRNA from 1 species